UGAGCUUCGAACUUUAUUUCUUUAAAUCACUUGGACUUGACGAAAUCACAGCUAUUAGCCCAAGUGUCGCCCGGCAAAGAUCGGGAGAUCAAUUUGCGACUUCACGUAGUAAACGAACGGAUGGUUGGCAACGAAGUGAUGGCGCCUGAAACCCGCCACUGGCAUCACCCGGAAUCCUGUGGAGGCGAUGUAGAACAUGGCUGAGUUGCGUUGACUUUAUUGAGGGUCUAAUUUAUUACAUGCUUGGUUAGUAGAAAAGUGUAAAGUGUAAAUAUAAGAUCUUUGAUUGUG